UAGGAUGGUACUAUUUCAUUC
rnacentral:piRNA from 1 species